AGAAACUUGCUGACAUUGUUGUAUAGAGAUUAAGAGUGAUAGUUGAAUUUUUUGGGGAUAUUAUUCAAUUCAAAUGAUUUUUUUUUAAUUACAGGAGACAGAAGAAGUCUAUUAUAAAUAGUUUUCUUGGUUUUAUAACAUUAUUUUUGUGUUCAUUUAGUGCAAUUUAUAACAAAUUGUUUAAAGUUAGCCUUGCUAACUUCAGUAGCUAGCUAGCUACCAGCGCGAAUGUGCAGUUUUCUCCGCCAGAAUGGUCAAUUCUGCCGAAAAUGUUGUGGACUUUUUGUUGAAGAACCCCUUUCAUUCUCUGGGGUACACAGAAAAAGUGCGAAUUAAAAGCGAGGGUCGACCUCUGCCUGAGAUCAGUUUCAUGACGAAGGAUGAAAGGGUGAGGGCGUUCAAUAUCAACUGGUAUCAAAAGUAUAGCUGGUUAACAGGGAGCCUAUCAUAAAGCCGCCUGUAUUGCUGGCCUUGCCUGCUUUUUGGAAAGUCUGAGCCUUAGUCGAAAGGUGGGUACAGUGAACUGAAGAACAUCAAUUGUUCAGCUAAACGGCAAACCAAACGCAGGGAGCAUAUACAUACCGACUUUUCGAUCAAAUAAGAUUGAUAGCUUCCAUCGCAUCAUCCAUUAAAAUGUACAUUAACGAGAGAGGUUGAAAGCUCAAAUUGGCUUUCCACUUUCCUCCGGUAUUUAUUUAGCAAAGAUAACACAUAAUCACUCCGGACAGACCAAAGCAAAAACUACACCGAAACAUUAGAAAUCUGACAUUGCUGUAUGUGAUGAAAAUGAGACUACUUUUUCUGAUCAACUGUAGGCUACUAAUACGGGUAGCUGGAUAACGUUACAUCCUAUGCGCCCUGAGUAACGUUAUGUAUUUAUGUGUCAGGAUAAAAUGUGAAUGUGAUCAGAUUUUAGUUUACAUUCAAAAUUGGGCUGGCAAGCCUGUGUCACAUGAGUUGACGCUGGAGAGACGAAGCAGGUACGGCGAGUUAAACAUUUAAUAAAGAACGAGACAGGAACAGCGUCAGCAAACUAGUAACACAAACCAAAAACAAUUUAUGCAUCAGCAGGGAAACUGACAAAUAUAGGGGAGGUAAUAAACAGAUAAGUGAGUCCAGGUGAGUCCAAUAAUGCUGAAGCGUGUGACGAGGGGAGGAGAGCGGGAGCAGACGUGACAGGCUGCCUAUACGUUUUUAAUCCAAAAUUAUUAUUAAUCAGUCGACAAUGGUGAUGACAGAUGUGAGUAAAUGUUUUAUAAGGCCUACAGUUGCAUAGGCCUGCAUGAUGCCAACAUGCAUAAAGCAAGCUCAGCCCUGUGAGUUCUGUGUCUGGGUAGAGGAAAUCCCCUUCAAUACAAUAAUUUAUAUGAACAAAUAUAAGGUAGCUUCAGUUUGACAGUGGAUUCAUCCCCCCCAGGGCCAGGAGUUUUUUUUCAAACCAUGUGACCUGAUUAGGAAAAACGGGUCCCAUCAUAGCCCAUAUGAAAGCUUUUUACAACUGAUUAAUCACUGUCAUACCUUAUAGGGUCCAGAGUUUUCCUAGUUAGGUUAACAUAUAAGGAAAAACUCCAGGCCCUAGGGGGUAAAAAUUGCCCCACUUCUCUGGGACCUAUGGUGCUGCCAUUCUGCUUGGUAUUGUCACUUAUCACUAUGGUAUGUGGAUGAUCAGGGCUUUAUUCAGGAAUGUUUUUUAUGUGUUUUUUUAACUAGGCAAGUCAGAUAAGAACAAAAUUUUAUUUUCAAUGACAGCCUAGAAACAGUGGGUUAACUGCCUUGUUCAGGGGCAGAACGACAUAUUUUUACCUUGUCGAUUCGAUCUCGCAACCUUUCGGGUGCUAGUCCAGCGCUCUAACCACUAGGCUACCUGCCACCCCCAUUUCUUGGGAUACUUUGAUGUGUCAAGUGGGUGAGAUGCGCAGUAUGUGUUUGACUUCAUAGAGAAACUCGUUGUCCAAACCUAUGAUGGCACGGCUGUAAUAGAAUGUAUCUGCUAUUUGUAUUUACAGCUAAGUCCCCUCCUGUUCCCUGAUUUAAGAGGUGAUGACCACUCCACUACCAUUGUCAACUCUCUCAUGAGUUGAACCGAAGCCAUAUCUCAUGUGCCCGCUCAUCGCACAUUAAAUGUUUCCUCUCCAAGCACUGCGAGUACUCAUAUCAUUUUCCUCUCAUUACUGUAUGUAGAGUCAAUCACAUACACAAAAACAAUCACAUUACUACACAUCAACGAUUUUACUCCUUGCUUGGACUAACUAAUUCUUAGCUCUUUUGUCUAACUUUGUAGUGUAUUAUUGUUUUUUGUCUUCCCCAGUCAAAUCCUGUCCUGCAAUGGUCAAGCCUCUGAACACCUCAACACAUGCCUCACACCCUGAUUCAAUCACUGCUGUGAUCUCUUUCCAACACUGUCGCCUAUACCAUGGGUCUCCCAUCCUGCUCAAUUCUUCAAGUCACCAGCCUCCACUGCCCUCCACCUACCCAAGGACGUUUGAAUACAGACAUACCUUAACCACCUAAAUGAGGAUCUAAAUGUAACCUUGCGUAAUACCCUAGAUGCAGUUGCACCCCUAAAAACAAAAAACAUUUGUUUUAGCUCCCUGUUUUAGUUCCCUGGUAUACAGAAAAUACCAGAGCCCCGAAGCAAGCUUCCAGAAAAUUGGAAUGAAAAUGGCGCUCCACCAAACUGGAAGUCUUCCGACUAGCUUGGAAAGACAGGACAGUGCAAUAUCGAAGAACCCUCACUGCUGCUCAAUUAUCCUAUUUUCUUCCCAAAACUAAUUGAGGAGAAUAAGAACAAUCCCCUCCCAAAAAUGUGAUAUUGUCGCAAAGCUAACUUAAAAGCAGCAUUCCCCAAGAGAGGAUGACUUUCACUUCAGCAGUGAGGAAUUCAUCAACUUCUUUGAUGUAAAGGUCAUGAUCAUUAGAAAGAAAAUUACAGACUGCUCUUUCAAUCUGCACAUUUCUCCAAAGCUCAGUUGUCCUGAGUCUGUACAGAACUGCCAGGAAGUUGGAUCAAUGGAGACACAAGUUUUUUCAUCCUGUAUCUCUUGACACAUUCAUGAAAAUAAUCAUGGCCUCUAAACCUUCACGCUGCAUACUGGACCCUAUUCAUACUAAACUACUGAAAGAGCUACUUCCUGUGCUUGUCCCUCCUAUGUUGAACUUGGUAAAUGUGGAAGUAAUAAAGCCUCACUUGAAAAAG